AUUGAACGCUGGCGGCAGGCCUAACACAUGCAAGUCGAACGGUAACAGAAAGCAGCUUGCUGCUUUGCUGACGAGUGGCGGACGGGUGAGUAAUGUCUGGGAAACUGCCUGAUGGAGGGGGAUAACUACUGGAAACGGUAGCUAAUACCGCAUAACGUCGCAAGACCAAAGAGGGGGACCUUCGGGCCUCUUGCCAUCGGAUGUGCCCAGAUGGGAUUAGCUAGUAGGUGGGGUAACGGCUCACCUAGGCGACGAUCCCUAGCUGGUCUGAGAGGAUGACCAGCCACACUGGAACUGAGACACGGUCCAGACUCCUACGGGAGGCAGCAGUGGGGAAUAUUGCACAAUGGGCGCAAGCCUGAUGCAGCCAUGCCGCGUGUAUGAAGAAGGCCUUCGGGUUGUAAAGUUCUUUCAGCGGGGAGGAAGGGAGUAAAGUUAAUACCUUGGCUCAUUGACGUUACCCGCAGAAGAAGCACCGGCUAACUCCGUG
rnacentral:rRNA from 1 species